rnacentral:tRNA from 1 species
GGAGAGAUAGCUCAGUGGUGAGAGCGUGAAUUUACUGAUCGGAAGGUCCGUGGUUCGAACCCGAGUUCUUCCU